rnacentral:rRNA from 1 species
GACAGAGGGGGCAAGCGUUGUUCGGAAUUACUGGGCGUAAAGGGCGCGUAGGCGGCCUGCUAAGUCGAACGUGAAAUCCCCGGGCUCAACCCGGGAACUGCGUCCGAUACUGGCAGGCUUGAAUCCGGGAGAGGGAUGUGGAAUUCCAGGUGUAGCGGUGAAAUGCGUAGAUAUCUGGAGGAAUACCGGUGGCGAAGGCGGCAUCCUGGACCGACAUUGACGCUGAACGGCGAAAGCUAGGGGAGCAAACGGG